rnacentral:rRNA from 1 species
ACGGGGCAAUUGCCUUAGUAGCGGCGAGUGAAGCGGCAAAAGCUCAAAUUUGAAAUCUGGCGCCUUCGGUGUCCGAGUUGUAAUUUGAAGAUUGUAACCUUGGGGUUGGCUCUUGUCUAUGUUUCUUGGAACAGGACGUCACAGAGGGUGAGAAUCCCGUGCGAUGAGAUGCCCAAUUCUAUGUAAGGUGCUUUCGAAGAGUCGAGUUGUUUGGGAAUGCAGCUCUAAGUGGGUGGUAAAUUCCAUCUAAAGCUAAAUAUUGGCGAGAGACCGAUAGCGAACAAGUACAGUGAUGGAAAGAUGAAAAGAACUUUGAAAAGAGAGUGAAAAAGUACGUGAAAUUGUUGAAAGGGAAGGGUUUGAGAUCAGACUCGAUAUUUUGUGAGCCUUGCCUUCGUGGCGGGGUGACCCGCAGCUUAUCGGGCCAGCAUCGGUUUGGGCGGUAGGAUAAUGGCGUAGGAAUGUGACUUUACUUCGGUGAAGUGUUAUAGCCUGCGUUGAUGCUGCCUGCCUAGACCGAGGACUGCGAUUUUAUCAAGGAUGCUGGCAUAAUGAUCCCAAACCGCCCGUCUUGAAAMMMSRGGACCAA